rnacentral:tRNA from 1 species
GGGGGUAGAUGGGUGCUGGUGUACACUCUGGUCUUCAAAACCAGUGUUUGGGGUUGGUAGCCUCAUGGGUGGGUUCGAUUCCCACAUACUCCCGCCA